rnacentral:rRNA from 1 species
AGUGAACGCUGGCGGUAGGCCUAACACAUGCAAGUCGAACGGCAGCACAGUAAGAGCUUGCUCUUACGGGUGGCGAGUGGCGGACGGGUGAGGAAUACAUCGGAAUCUACUUUUUCGUGGGGGAUAACGUAGGGAAACUUACGCUAAUACCGCAUACGACCUACGGGUGAAAGCAGGGGAUCUUCGGACCUUGCGCGAUUGAAUGGGCCGAUGUCGGAUUAGCUAGUUGGCGGGGUAAAGGCCCACCAAGGCGACGAUCCGUAGCUGGUCUGAGAGGAUGAUCACCCACACUGGAACUGAGACACGGUCCAGCCUCCUACGGGAGGCGCCAGGGGGAAAUAUUGAACAAGGGGGGCAAGCUUGACCCAGCCAUCCCGGGGGGGGGAAGAGGGCCUUGGGUUUGAAAACCCUUUUUUUGGGAAAAAAAAAACAGCAGUUAAAUCCCCGCUUGUUCGGAGGGUACCCAAAAAAAAAGCCCCGGCUAACUUCGUC